AGCGAACGCUGGCGGCAGGCUUAACACAUGCAAGUCGAGCGGGCCCUUCGGGGUCAGCGGCAGACGGGUGAGUAACGCGUGGGAACGUGCCCUUCGGUUCGGAAUAACUCAGGGAAACUUGAGCUAAUACCGGAUACGCCCUUAUGGGGAAUGGUUUACUGCCGAAGGAUCGGCCCGCGUCUGAUUAGCUAGUUGGUGAGGUUAUGGCUCACCAAGGCGAUGAUCAGUAGCUGGUCUGAGAGGAUGAUCAGCCACACUGGGACUGAGACACGGCCCAGACUCCUACGGGAGGCAGCAGUGGGGAAUAUUGGACAAUGGGGGCAACCCUGAUCCAGCCAUGCCGCGUGAGUGAUGACGGCCUUAGGGUUGUAAAGCUCUUUUCUCCGGGACGAUAAUGACGGUACCGGAGGAAUAAGCCCCGGCUAACUUCGUG
rnacentral:rRNA from 1 species